UAUAAUACAACAGGAUCAAACGGAGGGAACUAAUGGAGCUCGUAAUGCGAUAGCUCGUAAAUACACGCGACAACGUCGGUGUUUUCUCGGUUUAAAAAGGGUGACUGCAUUUGGCGGGCCGAUUGCCAAAAUAACUCGUUCGAAAAUAUCCCGCGAUCAUUGCGAAAACUUCGCUUGUCGCAGCUGUGACGUCACGCGAUCAAAGACAGAAGGUUAUCCAAUUAUCAAAAAACGGCAGACCCGCUGGCUCGUUUCUCGUCACGCUGACGUAAUUCAGAAGUCACGAUUUUCUGCGAAACGAAUGAAAACGGUUCGAGGUAGAAGAGGAUAAAGGUGGAUGUAGGAUAAAGGUGGAUGUAGGAUAAAGGUGGAUGUAGGAUAAAGGUGGGUUUUAUGAAAUUUCCUGAAGGAUUCGGAAGCUAGGAUGAUUCAAGGUUUUCAGGCCACGGAUGAGACAGACUUCGUAGUGUAAUGCCUGACGCAUCAUCUCCGUCCUUGUGAAAGUGUGACAUCGCAUUACAUUUUCGACUGAUAGCAAAUGUUUUGAUAACGUCACUUUGGGUGAGUCACAUAGACUAGUGACGAACGCAUAGAACCUUAGAAAUGAUAAGAAUGCAAUCUCGUCUCCUGAUCUAUUGUUUCUUUUUUUUUUUUUUGUAUUCUCGUUCGUAGCUGAUACAAUGAGCUCGAGUUGUGCCAAAGGAAUAUUGUGAUUGUCCGUGGUUAAGUAAGUAAUGUGUAUGGACAGGCGAAUAAGUUUAUGGAGCGAUGCCAAUUGCGAAAAUUACAAUUGGUUUCCCCCAAACACCUGCUCUUUCCGCAUAAUUUUCAUUUAAUUCGUUAACUCGAGACGUUUGUUGAUUAUUAACGAUUACAAGCUCAGCCGGCGACGCGCGUCAGUCCUCGAUCGCUGCCAGAAAAUGAAUCGUUCCAACGACUAGACGACUUUUUAUCCGACUACGUCAAACCUUACCAGACUUGGCGACGGGGAAAGAAUUUUAGAAGCAUCUCGUGCACUCUGUGUUAGCAUAGUAGGCGCGGAUACACACUGUAGCCACAGUUUCACAUUUCAAACGGUGAAAACGUAGUAAACUUUUACUAAUAUAUCAAAAAUUAUAUUAAAAAAGAAAUAAAAUUGAAACAUAUCGAGCAUCAAGUCACCCCGAAUAAUAACUGCGAACAGUGACUACGCGUAAGUAUAAUAUAAAUUAGAAAAAGGGAACGGACGGUAAACGGACUGGUUUCUCUACAAUCGAAUCUUUAUUAUCGAAGGUACACGCAUACCAUAGAAACCGGUCGCGGUCAUUUUCUCCUCGAAGCCGGUGCAUAUAAGCGUCGAUCAGUGUCUAAAAUUUGUGCAACCACCGAUAGGAACGGGAUUUCGAGGCAAAAGGGCUUCGCGUGACAUACUCGUCGCCCUAGAAAUCGAGCGAAGCUAACCAAUCUUGAUGUUUCCUUUACGUAACGUAGGCAGCAAAUCGCCCGUUAAUGCCUGUAUUACAGUGUAUUGUUUAUUAGAGGGACGGCGCGGUAGUACGCGCCAUCUGAUAGACACGCUAACGUGAACCACCGGUGGUAAUCACUCAUAGUACUGGAGAAAAAUACCAUAUUAUUUGAUGUUCCACAUUAAUUCUGAAACUUGAUAAAUAAUGGACUGUAUUUCGAGGAGCUUCUUAAUUCUUUUGUCUGAACCGCGAGCUUCAAAGAGCUAAACGGUAUGCAACGAUGGUUAAUUACCAUAAAAGGUGUGCGAAUACCAGAGAGCUCAGCUUCCCAAGCAACUCGGAUUGUCAACUGUAUAGAUACGUUGGAUAUUGAGACUUCUUCUAGAGCAUCGAUCCUAAUAAUCAAUAAGAAGAGUUUGUCCAAUUGGGGCAGUUAUUUAUACUACCGCCAGCAUGAACUGCUUCGUUAAUAGUGGAGAACCUCGACCCAUUAUUUUCAACGUCCUAUUUUUAUCCGAGUUGUCGACGCUUCCUUUGAGCCUAACCUUUCAUCUUUCGUUGAUUUACCUUAUAUGCACUAUGCACAACGCAGCCAACCCUUGUAUAACGCGGAUGUUUUGGCGCGGGUAAAAACCGCGAGGACUUCAAACAGAAAUGCGAUUCAUUUUUGUUGUCGAACUAAAUAUUGGGUUGUCCGGAAAGUCCAUGUCGAUUUUUGGUAGGUGGUACAGGUCUGAAUAUAUCGAAGUGGUUGAAAACAAAUAGCAUCCAUACAUCCCUUAAAAGGUGGAAAGGUUGUGGAACAAAAUGGCACCUAUGUAAUUCAAUAAAUAUGUAUUAAAAUUCAAACGUGUUUUUUUUUUUAAUGUUUCUUAGAAAUUGUCACGAACUUUCUGAACAACCUAAUACAAUAUUUAGAUCCGAUUAAUUCUACAGAAUCCCGCGUAGAAUCUAAAAGUUACGCGCUAUAAAAACAGAAAAGAUAAGAAUGCACCAGCUACGUAACACAAUGCAUUUUCUAUCCGAAGACAAUACAUCGCCAGUUCGCGUUCAAAGUCGGAAAUAACGAGUCGCAUGGUAGGAGCAUUGCGCGUCACUCUUCCGAGAAGAAUGAUAAAGAACGAUUAGAGGCGAGAAAUCCUUAAGUGAUCAAGAUACGGUAAAACCGUAGUUAACGACGUAAAAGGAUGCAACGAUGUCGCGUCCACGAGAGUUUACGUUAUCUAUUUUAACUUGCCUCGUCACUCGUGCAAUUUAAACAAUCAUUUUCAGACGUAACAACGUUGCGCGAAUCGUUCUUUGAAAAAUAUGCGAGAUAGCGGAUCCUCUCGAUGGAGAAGUGCCUUUCUACGAACAAGGAUCACGUUGAUUACAAGCGCGUACAAAGUAAUCAAUCGGUGUAACUAGAUUUAUACUGAAAUUAUUCCAGAAAGUGCGGUAAGAGAAUUAUUAAAUAAAAUAUUUCGCUCGAUGAGAGGUUCGAGGGAAGAGGCGACUAUGGUUACCAUGCGAAGGCUACAUGGCUACAGGAAUGAGGGGGCAGCAGGUACCACACACCACACCGCGUGGAACAGUGCAUAAUCGUCGAGUUCCUUGCAAACGAUGGGUUGCAGCCGUUUUAAACGCGUUUCAAAGACAGUCUUGCGUAAUUAGUUUUGAGAAAAGUUGGUAUAAAGUAACUGGUACGAACCACUCGACUGUUACACGUAGAAAUUAAUUCUGUGCCUUUAUGGUUUAAGCAGAAAUACUUUCAAGUCGUUUUGUUAUGUUAGAGUACCAACCUUAAGCUAAUCUACAUUACAAUGAACUUAAAUAAUAACCUAUGCGAGUCUUAACUUAAUAACCAUUACAGUGCAAGACGAUCCUCGUAUCUAUACAUAUGUACGACGUGUAAUAGUCAUCAAAUUUCACCUUUUGUUAUUCUUCUAAUGGACUGUAAGUGUAAUGGACUGUAAAAGUCUGAACCUGAUGGGUAUUAGACGCAAUAUAUUAUUGGGUUGUCCGGAAAGUUCGUGCCUAUUUUUAAGAAAAAUUCAAAGGCAUAUUUGAAUUUUGAUUUAUGUUUAUUGAAUUAUAUAUGUACCAUUUUCUUCUACAUCCUUUCCACCUGUUAAGGAAUGUACACAUAUUAUUUGUUUUCAGCCAUUCCGAUAUAUUUAGACCUGUACCGCCUACUAAAAAUCGGCAUGGACUUUCCAGACAGCCCAAUAUUUGUUUAUUCUUCCUCUUCUACAGUUAUUGUAACUACUCGUCGUACUUGUAAUCUGUCGAGCAAACUUCGUUGGCUAAUGAACUUCGAACGUCUAGAUAAAUUGUAAUGGCCACCAGGUCGAGACAUAGGUUAUCUACUGUACCUAUAUAGAGGCGGAUCCGUGGAAAUUAAGUCGCGAACUCGGAAGAUUUGCAUUAUUUUAUCUCGCGAGAAAGAAGCGACUCCUCGAUUUAGCCAAGCAUUGUUGGUAAAAUUGUUAAACGAAGGCGUGGAAAAAGCAUGGCGUGGAAGUAAAUUAUCUGAAAAAACUGAAUUCAACGCAUUCUAUCGUACAAUCUACCGUCACCCGGAGAGAAUGACAAAGAGCUGCAAAUAUAGCCACCUUUAGUUACGCGGAGGGAAUUUCUCUUCCAUCAAGACGAGUCGAGACAGCGGUGCGCCAAAGAAACAUCCCGAGAUGCGGCGGGACUGCAAUUUGGAAAUCAUGCAUCGCUGCCCUGUUAAAUUUGCAAUUUUUUUUUUAACGCUUUUUUAUUUUAACGCAAACUUACAAGGACGGAUGGAAGCGCGAGGUGCGAUGGCGACGACAAUGAAAACGCACUUAAAGCACGUUUAAUUGGAUGAUACACAUUUGUUAAAAUAUUCUCUUUGUAUAGUUGAAAGCACAGAAUGAAUUCCCAAGGAAGCACGACCUACGAAAUUAAUUUAAUAGGCACGAGGAAUUCCGUCCUGCAUAGAAAUGAUGAGAACCGUGUAUAUUGUGCAUGUGAACCGCCUAUGGAAGAAAAAAAGGAAAGAAAAGGAUACGGAGGAAGAGAG